rnacentral:rRNA from 1 species
UCACCCUCCGGUGUCGCAGCUAACGCUUUAAGCACUCCGCCUGGGGAGUACGGUCGCAAGAUUAAAACUCAAAGGAAUUGAUCGGGGGCCCGCACAAGCAGCGGAGCAUGUUGCUUAAUUCCGAGGCAACGCGAAGAACCUUACCUGGGUUUGACAUGGUGGGAAAAGCCACAGAGAUGUGGUGUCCUUUUGGGCCCAUCACAGGUGGUGCAUGGCUGUCGUCAGCUCGUGUCGUGAGAUGUUGGGUUAAGUCCCGCAACGAGCGCAACCCUUGUCCUAUGUUGCCAGCGCGUAAUGGCGGGGACUCGUAGGAGACUGCCGGGGUCAACUCGGAGGAAGGUGGGGACGACGUCAAGUCAUCAUGCCCCUUAUGUCCCAGGGCUGCAAACAUGCUACAAUGGCCAGUACAGAGGGCUGCGAGACCGCGAGGUUGAGCGAAUCCCACAAAGCUGGUCUCAGUUCGGAUCGGAGUCUGCAACUCGACUCCGUGAAGCUGGAGUUGCUAGUAAUCCCGGAUCAGCAACGCCGGGGUGAAUACGUUCCCGGGCCUUGUACACACCGCCCGUCACACCACGAAAGUCGGUAACACCCGAAGCCAGUGGCCCAACCCGCAAGGGGGGGAGCUGUCGAAGGUGGGAUCGGCGAUUGGGGUGAAGUCGUAACAAGGUACC